GACGAACGCUGGCGGCGUGCUUAACACAUGCAAGUCGAACGGAAAGGCCCUGCUUUUGUGGGGUGCUCGAGUGGCGAACGGGUGAGUAACACGUGAGUAACCUGCCCUUGACUUUGGUAUAACUUCAGGAAACUGGGGCUAAUACCGGAUAGGAGCUCCUGCUGCAUGGUGGGGGUUGGAAAGUUUCGGCGGUUGGGGAUGGACUCGCGGCUUAUCAGCUUGUUGGUGGGGUAGUGGCUUACCAAGGCUUUGACGGGUAGCCGGCCUGAGAGGGUGACCGGCCACAUUGGGACUGAGAUACGGCCCAGACUCCUACGGGAGGCAGCAGUGGGGAAUAUUGCACAAUGGGCGGAAGCCUGAUGCAGCAACGCAGCGUGCGGGAUGACGGCCUUCGGGUUGGAAACCGCUUUCGCCUGUGACGAAGCGUGAGUGACGGUAAUGGGUAAAGAAGCACCGGCUAACUACGUG
rnacentral:rRNA from 1 species